UAUUUUCUAUCACAAUCUAGCAGUUGAUACACUAGUGUAUCUUACAGCUGGUGUUUUUUUAUAUAAGAAGAGAAAUUAAAUAUUGUGAACUUGGAGAAUUGUUAACAAUCUUAAAUCGAUUUCAUCACCUUGUUGUAUAAGGUUGGGUGUAGUAGUGAAGUCUCAAUCAAAGAGGGAAGGUACAUACAGUCGUUUUGGGCAUUUCCAAUUUGGCAAUAUUACUUCAUCCCUCUUCACCUUCUCCAGAACUUCAUCCCACUUCUCCUCUAGAUUCAAACCUUCUCGAAACCGCAGCAGAGGCCGAGCAAAAGGUCUGUUCCUACUGAUUUCAUUGUGAUCGUGUUAAAAUAAUCUGCCGCCGCCGUCCUUGGUCUCCAAAGCUAGAACCGCCUUCAAUUCCGCUGCUGCUAAAGCGGAGCGCGUCUUCACUGAUCUCAAAUCCGAUCCAGCAGCAAUCAACUAGGAAAGCAAAGCAAGAAUUUCAGCAUUUGAACAACUCAUGGCUCCAUUCCACUUCGUAGUCUCACCUCCACUGAUGAAUCCAAACUUGACUUAAAUGCUCUGUCUUUGAGCGUUUCCUUCCAUGGGUGAGAGAGGCGAACUCAGCUUUCAAGUCUUGGGCUAUAAAAAUGUCAUCUUUACACAGACCCACAUGGAGAAAAGCUGGGAUCUUCGAAGCAGUCAUGGCAUCUACCAAAGGACUCAACAAAGACACAAAGAAACCAAUAGCUACUCGUUGAUCAAUUUGAAGUUUUUUUGAUUAUGCAUUGUGGUAAAGUUUGUUGUAAUGAAAGUGUUAUAAUUUUUUUUUAAGAACCCAUAAUUAAGAAACUUGCAAUAAACCAUUUAAAUGUUUAAAUUUU